rnacentral:pre_miRNA from 1 species
CUCCCGUCUCCUAGGCGUGUGUUGACAAACGGCAACACACUCCUUGGAGACGGGACCG